GAGAAAGGAAGGUGGACUGAGAAAAUGU
rnacentral:piRNA from 1 species